AUGGCAAGUGGCUGUUUUAAUUGUGAAGGACACUUCAUCCAAUCUGAACACUCUCACAAUCACCGAUCGAAAACGAACCCUAGCUUGUGCCUCUUCAUCUUCAACUCAGGGCCUUAUCAUCCAUCAAUGGCGUCAACCGGAGCAGUGCCGUUCUGGAGGGCAGCAGGGAUGACAUACAUAACUUACUCCAACAUAUGCGCGAAUCUUGUCAGGAAUUGCCUCAAGGAGCCUCACAAGACCGAAGCUAUCGCUCGCGAGAAAGUCCAUUUCUCUCUUUCGAAAUGGGUUGACGGGAAACCCGAAAAACCUACCCUUCGUUCAGACACCCCAGAUGCUUGA